CUUGUAGCUCAGCUGGAUAGAGCAACGGCCUUCUAAGCCGUAGGUCGCGGGUUCGAAUCCUGCCGGG
rnacentral:tRNA from 1 species